UUUUCUUUUGGGAGAUCUUGAAGACAGUGAUGGGGGUGCAGGUACAUUCUUUGAACAGUUACUUGUUAUGCCAUCUAUUUCUAUUGAUUUUCCUAGUGAACAACUAAGCAUAUAUCUUGCCAAAAUGCAGCGUGGUGCACAUAUUGGAUUAUUAAUUUUUAUUUGCUGAAAAAUGAAUAUGACAUCAUAAAAUGGAACAUGUGACAAUGUGAUGAAAAUAAGUUUGAAUGCUGAAAUAUGCACAUACAUUG
rnacentral:misc_RNA from 1 species